AUAAGGUCUUACAUGAGUUGGG
rnacentral:misc_RNA from 1 species